rnacentral:rRNA from 1 species
UCCUAUGGCCAUGCUACCCUGAACAUGCCCAAUCCCGUCUGAUCUCGGAAGCUAAGCAGGGUCGGGCCAGGUUAGUACUUGAAUAGGAAACCACCUAGGAAGACCAGGGGACUGUAGGCG